CACAAAGGGGAAGAAAAACUGUUAAUAAGUCUACACUGUUGAAAAGGAACAUUUCAUUGGAGAUACUGUAUAUACAGUAUACAGAUAAGUAACAUUAUUACUUAAUAUAUAAAUAAAUUAAUAGAUAAUAAAUACUUAAGUAUCUAAUAUAUAGUAUAUCUUAUAUAGCAGUGGUCUCAAACUCCCGGCCCGCGGGCCAUUUGCAGCCCGUCACCUUUCAGCACUUUACAGCAUCUCAUAGAAUAUUUUGAUGCACAAGUUGCCAAGAUGAGAUAACCUUUGACCUUUUCCAAAUGGAGGAGAACAACAGAAGAGAUGUGAAUAAGGAUUGUUUUAAAAGAUAAUGUUUUAGACAGAGAUAUAUUUUUGCUGUGGUCCGUAACUCACAAGUCUGGUCUAUCAAUACCAUGUGGAAUUUUAAACAAAUGUAAAAUGACUUCUGUAUCAUUUCACUUUGAACAUGAGUAGCGUAUUGUUACUUUUGAUCCUGUCAGCAGCAGGCUUGUGCACAAUUCAGAAUUGAAUUGAGAAUGACUCCUUAAUUCCAAUUAAAUUCUUGAAUUUGAAUUGAAUUUGAAUUGAUGUCAAAAACAGGAUUUAGAAUUACAAUUCGAAUUUGAAUUAAAGGAAGCAGAAUUGCAAUUCAAUAGAAAUUCAAAGAAAUUCAUACACAUAUUAUACAGUAAGUGAAGUGUUAAAAAUGAAGCUUUCAGUAUAUGUCAGAUAUGAUUGCAUUAAAUAUUCUAUAAAUUAAAUAAGUUUGAACUACUUUCAGAAUUAACAGGAAAUGUUUUCCCCCAGCAAUUAAUGUUAAAAACUCUAGUCACAUAACAAAUAAUUAAGUUAGAUUUUUUUGUAAUUGUAAUUUUGUGGAACACGAUGGAACAUGACUUAAUUUCCCAGAAUGCUUUACUUUAACCAAGUAUUUAAAAUGGUUGCCAAACUUUCCUAACACUGAAUGUAUGUGAGAUUAUUUCUGUUGUGAGACUGUGGAAUUUCUUUGAAUUGCCAUGAAUUUAAUUUCACUUCCUGUCAUUCCAAAUUCAACUUCCUUUAUGGCGGAUUCCAAUUCAUGAAUUGAAUGGAGACCAAUUCUGAAAUUCUGAAUUGUGCACAAGCCUGGUCCGCAGGGGGCGAAAGUAACACACAUGUGGGUCAAAAGUAACACAACAAAACAAGAUAGAUUUUUGCGUUACACUUGUUUUUAAUAAAUAUACAUGACUAUGUAAAUGCCAACAUAUUUUGUAAAUAUAAUAAAUAUCUAAAUAAUAUAAAUAUCUUUGUAAAAAAUAAUGAAAUUACAUUUUCAUUUUAAAUUUCAGUUAUAUCAAAUGUUUCAAAAGCUACCAACAGAAACGAUACAAACUUAAAUUGUUGAGAAUAAAAAAAAAUUCAACAGUUUGAACACUAUAAAAUUAAAUUAAAUUAAAUUUAGAAUAAUAUAAAUUUUCAACAUAUACAACAGUAUUAGCAGCGGGACAAAAGUAACCAAUGUUACUUUCGUCCCGACAAGAUCUCCAGACAUUUAAACCAGAUUAACUUUUAUUUUGAAAAACUCUGAGAAGUCAAACUUCAGGAUGUGUUCGAGCACUAAAUAACCUGCAGAUUGAUCAGUAUUAUAACACAUGAAACGAGAAACACAACGCGUUAUAAGAAAAAAAUGACCGCUUUUGGAAUUUACUUAUCAUGGUCGAAAACACCUUUCUGGAUGUACGCGCGGUGAGUAAAUAACGUGAUAUUUGUCAGCUCUAUCAAGGGUUAAAAAAAGCUCUAUCAAGGGUUGCGUUCCAAAGAUGCUGUCAUAGUUUGGAAUGCAAAUGUUAUCAGGGCUCGGAGAAAAUCGCUUUGUUACUUUCGCCCCGGUUCUCCCAUAUUAUUACAUUUUUCGGUCCAACUAGCUUAUGUAACAUUGACUACCCAUUCAAUAGUUAUUUGUUAGUUUAGUGCAGAGGUUCUCAACUUCAAGGGUCUAGAGGGCCACAUUUUGACCACAUAAGAUACAGAGAGUCACUGGCUUAUAUUAAUUUAUUUAACCAUUUUUUAUUCAUUUGAACCAGGUUUUCUAGAUAAAGCACAGUAUUGCAUGGGAAAGGAGUAUGAGAAAACUAUAACUACACAUUCCCAGCUAACACAAGACGUACUAGUUACGUAAUUUAUUGGUCAUUUUUGGUAAUUUCAUGACUUACCAGCUGGCAACGUAAUUGUUACGUCCUAUGGAGGUAAUUCCAUUACCAUUACAGUACCAAAUCACCACGUCGCCAGUACGGACUCCUUACGUCGCAAGAUAACCAAGUACGUCCCAGUUACGUAAUAAAUUCGUACUAUUUUGGUAAUUUCAUAACUUACUGGCAACGUAAUUGUUACGUCCCAGGGAGGUAAUUUCAUUACCUUUACAAUUAUAUAAACAUUAAUUUUGUUUUCUAUUUAGGUUAGCUUAUUAAAACUUUUCAGUCUCAAAGUUUCCCUUAAAUAAGUCAAAAUAGAUUAAAUACACAAGAACUGCCAUUUAAAUGGGAAACAUGAAACAGCACGCGCCUCCCGCCCAGCUGACCUCAACCAGAGCGCGCGACCGCACGUGCACAGCAGAACGGUGGCUGACAGGACGCGGUGUUGUUUCUCUGAACUGAGACCUGUUUAAAAUACACUUAUUUUAGUUGCUUAAGAGUUAUGAAAACAGCAUGUUAACAUACUUAUUAAGGCUCACAGAAUCUCGCCCGACAGUAUAAACCGCGUUUUAUGCUGCACUGACAGGAAUGUUCAUCUGACAGGAAAUUUCGUUUUAUCAGUUUUGUGGGACACGUUUGGCGUUUUGGACUGGUGAAGGUUAGAGCAGCGUUACCCUGGCAACCGGAACAUGAAGAGGACCGCGCGCUCCCUCUCCGUCUGACAAAACUACGCCUGCACAAUUCAGAAAUUACAUUUUAAAUGAACUUAUAUGGAGAAUCCAUUUAAAUGUUCAUUUUAACAUAUGUUUAUUUAAAUGUUUGUAAUGUUCAUGUUCAAUAAAUGAAGUAUUCAA